AUUGAACGCUGGCGGCAGGCCUCAAACAUGCAAGUCGAGCGGAGCGGCGGACGGGCGAGUAAUGCCUAUGAAUCUGCCUGGUAGUGGGGGAUAACGUCCGUAAACGGUCGCUAAUACCGCAUACUUUCCGAUGAGCCUCGGACGGAUUAGCUAGUUGGUGGGGAAAAGGCCGACCAAGGCGACGAUCAGUAAAUGGGCUGAGAGGAUGAACAGUCACACUGGAGUUGAGACACGGUCCAGACUACUACGGGAGGCAGCAGUGGGGAAUAUUGGACAAUGGGCGGAAGCCUGAUCAAGCCAUGCCGCGUGUGUGAAGAAGGACUUCGGAUUGUAAAGCACGGUAAGUUGAGAAGCGUUAAGAACAGAAUAAGCACCGGCUAAAGUCGUACCAGCAGCCGCGGUAAUAC
rnacentral:rRNA from 1 species